rnacentral:rRNA from 1 species
GACAGAGGAGGCGAGCGUUAUCCGGAGUUAUUGGGCGUAAAGGGUACGUAGGCGGCUGGUCAAGUCUGGGGUCAAAGGCCACAGCUCAACUGUGGGAAGGCCCUGGAAACUGACCGGCUAGAGUGAGGUAGGGGUUGCGGGAAUUCCCGGUGUAGCGGUGAAAUGCGUAGAUAUCGGGAAGAACACCUGAGGCGAAAGCGCGCAACUGGGCCCUAACUGACGCUGAGGUACGAAAGCUAGGGGAGCGAAUGGG